AGUGAACGCUGGCGGUAGGCCUAACACAUGCAAGUCGAACGGCAGCACAGUAAGAGCUUGCUCUUACGGGUGGCGAGUGGCGGACGGGUGAGGAAUACAUCGGAAUCUACUUUUUCGUGGGGGAUAACGUAGGGAAACUUACGCUAAUACCGCAUACGACCUACGGGUGAAAGCAGGGGAUCUUCGGACCUUGCGCGAUUGAAUGAGCCGAUGUCGGAUUAGCUAGUUGGCGGGGUAAAGGCCCACCAAGGCGACGAUCCGUAGCUGGUCUGAGAGGAUGAUCAGCACCACUGGAACUGAGACACGGUCCAGACUCCUACGGGAGGCAGGAGUGGGGAAUAUUGGACAAUGGGCGAAAGCCUGAUCCAGCCAUACCGCGUGGGUGAAGAAGGCCUUCGGGUUUAAAGCCCUUUUGUUGGGAAAGAAAAGCAGCAGGUUAAUACCCCGCUGUUCUGACGGUACCCAAAGAAUAAGCACCGGCUAACUUCGUG
rnacentral:rRNA from 1 species